GAAAAGCCGUCAGUCCCUCCUGUCUCCCUGGUCUCCCGCCACGCUCAGAGCUCACCUGGCCUAUGAGGGAAUGUUUCUGUCUCCGGCGCGUGGCCCAUUUGCAGUCUGCAAACCUGGUAGCUUCCUUCCCUGCGCUCCUGCGCCGCUUCUCCUGGAGAAGGAAGGCCGGGUUGUCCCCGGAUCUGCAACUUGCCUGAGGAGCAGUGGCUCGACUGUGCCUCAGAUCAUGAUUUAAGGUGGGAAGCAUCGAGUGUGUUCCUGUACAGACAAAGUCCGGCCAUGGAGAGUACGCUCUUCGGAGGUGGGACGGGAUUCAUGGAGCAAGAACAAGCUGGAGAAGAGAAGGCAGAAGAGGCACUUACCAGAGUCACUGAGGAGAGAACAGUUUUCACUCAAGGGAGAUGGGAUGUCUCUUCACUUCAUUCACUGAGGACAAAGGAGAAACGUAUUUAAGUAAGAUGCUGAUUAAAUACU